UACGUAGGGUGCGAGCGUUAAUCGGAAUUACUGGGCGUAAAGCGUGCGCAGGCGGUGAUGUAAGACAGUCGUGAAAUCCCCGGGCUCAACCUGGGAAUUGCGAUUGUGACUGCAUCGCUGGAGUGCGGCAGAGGGGGAUGGAAUUCCGCGUGUAGCAGUGAAAUGCGUAGAUAUGCGGAGGAACACCGAUGGCGAAGGCAAUCCCCUGGGCCUGCACUGACGCUCAUGCACGAAAGCGUGGGGAGCAAACAGG
rnacentral:rRNA from 1 species